CCUGGCACUUGGCGAGUAUCGAUGUAUGUAGUUUGCUUUCUUCUUCUUUCUGGGUAAGUGCAAAGGCAUCGUUAAAGAUCAGUGGACAUGCUAUAGGACGUAUAUGUGGCAGAAAUAAAGAUAUUUUUCACCAUGUUCAAGUCAGAGGACUGAAAGCAGCUCUUACGCACAAUAGUAACUGACAAACAGUCAAUUCUGCAGCAACUGGAUGAAUAGAGCUUAUUCACAAGAAAACAGAAAGCUUGAAUCUACAACCCACAAGCAGUUUAGGGAGUUCUGACUUGUUGACUCAUUUUCUUUGUCUAUGAGCUGUAGUUCUAAGGAACGUAUUUGAAUACCAGUCGGAAGAAAGGAAUCUACAUGGACAGCACGAAAACAAGAAUGUACUGCCUCUGUGUCAGGCCCUGAAUCCACAUGCAGUUCUGGUGUGAUAGUCAUUCUUCAUUUAUUAUCCUGGAGAAGUUGAAGGGAUUAAAUAAAAUAUGGAUGCAAAGACAUUAGCACAAUGCUUGGCACUCAUUCAAAGUCUUUCUGGUUCAAUCCUGCCUUCCCCACAUGGAAGACAGCAAAGAAACCUGCUCGGAUUUCCUUUCCUCCACCUCCCUGCUGCCAGCUCUCCUACUCCCUUCUCUCCCAUAGGAAGCCAAGAACCUGCUCAAAUUUCCUCUGUGGGGUAUACGUCCCACCUGGUUUCUUCUUCUUCUUCUACUCGGCAACAGGUGGUUAUUUCUGAAAAAUGAAGGCUAAGGGACAAUAUGAUCAAAAUGACAGAUGGCCUUAUCAAUAUAUACCAGGUUAUCAACAAACAUGGGCCAUGCAUUUGUUGUGUGAAGUGUCGGAAAAUAAAGCAAAAUCAGGUGCAAAGCCUGACAGAGGAAAGCUGGUGAAGAAGAUGGAUAUUAAAACAGACUGCUUUCUUUACACAGCAUCUUAUGAAGUCAUAUGAACCACAGGAAAUUGCCAAUAUUUAAUUAUUUUUGACCUACAGUAACUGUGAUUUCAUAUCGUUGAGCGUACUCAUUAGGAGAGAUUUGGCAGCUCACUGGUGAGUUUAAUUUUGCUUAGUAUAGUGUGCCAAGCCUGAUAAAGUUUUCACGCCAGUUUUCAGUAUUUCAGUCACAUUCAUCAGAAAUGAGUGGUGCUGUUUCUUCCCACAGGUCCGUAUAGACUAAACUGAAUUUUUGCAAACACCUCUGAGGUACGUUUAGCUUCUCCUAGGCUGCAGUUUCAGCAAAAGAAGACACUCCUCUCACUCACUUCAGUUUCUUAAUACUCUAGACCCCAGAUUGACAAACUUCUUUUUGCAAAGGGCCAGGUAGUAAAUUUUCAGAUGAAUGGGUCAGAUGGUCUCCUUAGUAACUACUCAACCCUGCCGUUGUAGUGCAAAGGAGCCACAGAUAAUAUGUAAGUGAAUGAACAUGGCUGAGUUCCGAUAAAACUUUAUUUACUCAUAAUGAAAUUUGAGUUGAAGUAUUUUUAUAUUUGAUAUUUUUUGAUAAUUUUUCUUUUGAUAAUUUUUAAUUGUUAAAAAAUGCAAAGUUCACUCUUAGUUAAUGGGCUAUAAAAAAGCAUGCAGAGGGUUGUCAUUAGCCCAUGGGCUGCAGUUUGCUCAUGCCUGUGCUGGAAGUACAUUUAUCAAAAUGUUUAAGAAACUCUUUGUGAUAUUCUUUUGGGUCCAUAAAAGCAUUAGGCUCAAUGGAAGAGCCAAGAGAAUCCUUCAAGUUUAAAUUUCCCAGAAUCCUACAAUUUUAAAUUUCUACUCAGGAGGGCUGCCACAAAUGCCAUUUUUCUAAUAUUUAGCAGGUUCUGUUUUAAGAAAAGAGAUGCCUUGUAUUCUCCAGGAGAUAUUCUCAGCUGUAUCGCACACUAACUUACUGGGAGAAAAGGUAACCGCAUCAGAAAGGAAACUAAACCAAGGGAAAUUUCAUUUCCUCCCCAGCACAAAAAUACUAGGCAGUGUCAGUUUUUCUCCUCCAUCCAUCAACACCUGUUCCAGAUGAAGGUAGUGCUUUGAGGGUCAAAUAGAACAGAGCCCUGGGCAUCCCCAUUGGGAUCCAAGGACUUCCUCAUGAGCCGGUUUCCUCAUUUUGGAAGUCCUAAACGAGAUUAACUUGCUGCUUUCUUUUGCUCUGUCAUUUUAACUCUGAAUAUCUACUAAACAAUCUUUCAUUUUGCCAGCUAUAAUCACAAACAGCCACAAGGUUGGACAGUUUAUGCCCCUAACGUACAAAGGUUUUAUUCAGUGAUUGAUUUCAUGUCUGAAAAAAAAAGAGAGAGAGAGAUUACGUGCAAGGUGUAAGUAAUUGGGUGUGAGCAAUCCCUGUUCUUUGGGAAAAUGAACACUUCAUUCUGAGCUGGAGAUUGGCCAACCAGACAGCGAUUUGAGAACAUGUUUUUUAUCCUCUCCUUCUUUAGCUGACUGCUCUUUCCACACUAAGAAACUGAAGUUUUCACUUUCAUCUGCGCCUGGAAAUCAAGCAAAUCUAUGCCACUUUACAUAGCUGUUUGGAGAGAGAAGGCAAUAAUGUCAUUUCAUCCUACCUCAAACAGCUAAGGUGAUUUCAGCAAAGAACAUUGAACCACACUUGAGACUUUUCUCUUUAAUGUGUAAAAGAUCUGGGCAUAAGUUAUUGCUUUGAGAUUUGUGAAUGGUGACUAUUACAUGUGGAAUCAUUUUCAUUUUGCCAGUGGUGGUAGAUUUCUAUAUAAUAUGGAAUUUGCAGUUAUGAUGCCCAGUUUAAUUUGAAAUGCCAUCAUUUCUUUAACCUCCCUGUGCCUCAGUUUUCCUCAUCUGUACAAUGGGGGUAGUAAUAGCAGGUUGCUCUGAGAACAAAAGAGUUAAUUCAUGUUCUUUGUAUUGUUUGCCUCAUUGAAUUAUUAUUGUCCCAAAUAUCAAUAUCCCCACUACCUGAAUUUUACUCACUGAGUACACUGUGUUGGGGAUGUUAGCCCUUGGAAAGUCCUGCUCUCACUUAACUGUUGCUUUUCUACUCAAAUUCUAUAAUCUAGGCACAAAGAUGACUUACUUUGAUCCCAAAAGGCUAUAUUGUCCCCAUUUCUGUGCCUUUAAACAUAUACUAUUCCAUCAACUUAGGAAUACACUUCCCUUUCUUCAACUUGCCUGAAAAACUAAUUUCCAGAAGCUUACAUUAGCUUCUCUUUGAGAAAGACAUUCCCAGCCUUCACCCUUUGUUUCCCAUUCUAGGUCAUAAAGUAUCUGUGCAGCAGCCUGCAUUUACAUUGUAUUAUCUAUUUAUCAGCCAAGGUCACCUCUUCAUAAGAAAGGACCGUUUCUCUUUGGCUCUAAUACUUUAGCUUAACGUUAAAUCAGAAAUAAGAAGUGAAUGUUAUCACCAUUAUUGAUCAGCAAUAAAUAAUUCAGUACACUAGAUAAGAUUAGACUUGUAGAGAAAAGCUUGGAGAGGUUUUCUUUUUUCAUUUGUAGUCUUGUACACUUAAUUGAGAGCAAAAAGAAGUAAGACAGCUAGGAGGUGAGCAACAGAGCAUAUCCUGGCUGUACCACCCAUCCUGGAUUCCUGGAGUCUCUUAGACUCUAGCCUCACCACACCGUUCCUGUUCUUUCUCCUGUUAUUGCAUUCAGUCAUGACCAUUACAUCUCCACACCCCUUACUCCCCCAAAACAUCCAUUAAAUUCCCAGUUCUGAACUCCACCCUGUCUGUGUCUGCUUUGUAAAUUAUUCAAUAAUCCAGCUGAAUUUAAAUUGUCAAUAGUAGGUAAGCGUGUCUGGCAUCACAUUUCCUACAAAUCAACAGCAGUUUAUUGAGAAUAAAUCAUGGCUAUAAUCUGGGGGGGAACAGUUGCUAACAUCAAACGAUCAAAUUGGCAGGUCUAUAGUCUUCAAUAACUUGGUCUCUAAUAAACUUGGUGCCACCUUGGGUUCUGCCCUAGUGAGCUAAGGUCUUCAUUAUUUCAGAGCUCUGUGGGCUACCAUCUACCACUGCAGACAUUUACUUCCAUGCCAAGGAAGGAAUUUUUGCUGAAGAAAGGGUAUCAUGUAAAAUCACUCAUACUGAUAAUAAAGUGGCCAAAGACAAAAUCUUGACUCUUUCUUCCAGCUCAUCCUUGCAUUUCUCUCUGCCCCCACAUCCCCAUUUCUGCAAUUUAUUGGCUCUGUGAUUUUUACAAAAACAUUCUUUGUCCCGAGUCUGUUGAGCAAGGAAUGAAGAUUCAUUUGAAUCUGGCUCCCAAAACUGUCAAGUAGUAAAUUGUCCCUAAACACCCUCACUUCUCUGCUCUGUUGGUGACCGUCAAAAUGAUCAUCAAAUGUCAGCUGAAAGCACUCUCACCCAAUUGGAUAGAAUCUAAGAGGUAAA